rnacentral:lncRNA from 1 species
UAUUUUCAAAAUCCUUGUCCUUUUUAAAGAAACAAGCUCUCCUCUGCUUCAUUCAUGUAUAUACAUACUGAGGAAUUUAUAUACGGAGGUCAUAACAAUAUACUACAAAAAAUACAUAUAUUACAUCUGGAGCACAACAACAAAGUUUUUACAUACCUGCAAUUGACUAAAGGUAAGUUAUGUAUGGAAACCAUACCCAUAAUACUACCAAGACUGUGUAAAAUCUGAAGUCCAUCUUAAAAAGUCUUAGAUACCUGUAGCUGGUUAAAUGCACUAAAGACAGCCUAAUGUUACCGAGCAACUACAUACUCAUAAGUCAAUCAUUUUCAUCCAUGACCUUAUUCAGUCCUCCCAAUAAACUGCAAGGUAUCAUUCCAUUUUUCCAAAUGAAGAAACUAAGGCUUAAGUGAAGCUAUGUACCUACCCAGCAAGGUGAUACUAGAACCAAGACUCAAAAGUUCCUAGCUUUUCACACCUCCAUUCAUGCUGCCUUUCAAGCAAUUUACAAAAAAAAAGAACUGAUCAACUAAAUAAUCAACUCAAAACAGUCUAUAGGAAAAGCAUACAUGAAAAACAGCAUGUGAUUUAUUCGCAAAACCUUUAAUUUUUUGUUGAGUUAUGCUGAUAAUUUAAUUCAUCUUUUGUUUUCAAUUUUGAUUUAAGUUUAUUCUUAGUCUACAGCCCUUAGAACUGAUAGGAAGCUGUGCCUACAAAAUAUCAACCAUGCUGCUACUUUAAACUACCUAAAGGAAUAGAUGCUUCUCUUUUCACACAGGUGUUAGACUUUAUGCAGACGCCCAGGGAGUAAUGACAGUUUGUCUUCUGUGGGAUUUCUUGGCUCAAACCACCAUUGCUAAGGUAAAAAUAAAACACCUAAGAAACCAGCUAGUUAAGCAUUUUAUAAACAGAGGAUUAACAUAUCAUGAUUCAAGUAAUUCACUGAUCGUAUUCUUUUGGAGACAUUUGACAAAACUCUAUUAUUAAUAAAUUACACCUUGAAAAUUUCAGAAUAGAUUUAUCUUAACUGUAUCAUAAGAACAUAUAAUUACACAUUGAAUUUUAGAAUAAUUAAUAAUGCUGGAUACAUAAAUAGUGUUUUUCAUCCCAUUCUCUCAAGGAACAAACACCUUGUCAUUAAACUUUGACAGGAGGAGAGAUUACCCCAUUAAAAAAUCACUGUGGACAGACCUGAAAAUGUUAUUUUCCUCUGGUAUCUUACACUGGCAUACUUCCAAAAUCAUUCAUAUGUCUUUUAGUUGUGUUGCUAGGUUUUGUUUGCUUGAUACCCUUUUUCAACAUACAUUUUGAACAUCAAUAUAAGUAUUUUGUUGUCUUUAAAAGAUUUUUCCCAAAGAGAAAGAAAAUGGCUAGUUUGGAUUUAGGGCAGGGAUGAGGAAAAAAAGAAGAAUAUGUCUCCUUUCCCCAUUCUACUAUACUUUCCUAGGGCUGUUCCAUUUUCACCCCACACAUACACCACAAAUACUCACUUGUAUUAAUAACUUAGCUAUUAAGAUGCUGUUUUUUAAACCCCAUUUAGUUAUGGGCAAAGCAUAUCAAAACACAAUGAAGAUCUUAAUAACAGAAACUAACAGGCAUAUUUUAUUUUCCAGAACUAGGUUAAAUGCUAUUUGAGUAUGAUAACUAUCCUCCCUGACAACGCAUGCAAAUCUCUUAAAAAAAAUAAUCUGUUUAUACUGACAUUUUAUGAAAUGGCUUGGGAGUGUUCUUUAUUUCAUCUUUUACAAUAUGAACUGGAGUUGAAGUUGCUUUUCAAAAUAGUCCUUAGAUAACUCUUUUAACACGAUGCCAUUAAAAGGGUAGAGGCUUAUCAAUGCUUCUUCAGCCUUCAAUGACAUGGUCACCUGAUAUUCUAGGAAACUUGUGAUCAUAAUCAAAGUAAAAUUAAGAGAAAUUAGUCUUAAGUUACUGGAAACUUUGGAACUCAAAACCCUGUAGUAAUAAAAAACUUUUUACCUGUCCUUAAAACCAAGAGGUCAAGUAUUCAUUGACCAAUAAAGACCCCCCCAUCAGCUAGAAAACACUUUAAAAUCCAAUUAACUCUUUCCCACAGACAGCCUUUAUUUUCUAUUUUAUCAGAAAGUUAAGUUUGCUAUUCUACACUCCAAUAAAAGUUAGGUUGUUUUGAUCUGAUAAUUGUAAGAUGUACUGUAUGUAUCUUAAUUUGUAAGUUUUUAAUGCUAAAGCUCAAAGCUGUUCAGAUAUAACAGGAGUGCUGGAAAUGAGGUACAAAAUACUGGAAUUCAAAUUAACCAAUAAAUAUAUUUUAAUAUAUAUCAGCAGGACUCUAGAGGAUUCCAUUAAUGUUGAAAAAUAGAAAGGAUUUAGGUUAAUUUGGUAAGAAGGCAGGUCAGAACGUUUACAACAGUGGUAUAGAAUUGUAUAGAGAUGCAAAAUUUUUCAAGAGAGCAGAAUUUUUUCAAAAACGCUGACUCUAGCUGUCACAGCCCUGCCUUGGCUAAAUCCAGUGGAGAGAUAGGAGGACUUUCUAAUUUGCUUUCCCUCUAUUUUAAUAAUAGCUGUGCAUAAGUAAUUUAUGAAAGGCCAACCAGGCAGUGGGCAACAGAAAAUUAAACUCAUUUUAUCUGAAAGCAGGUGGAUUUCUAUAUAUCAUUAGCAUGCAUAGAAUUCUCACAAUGUUAUUUCUCAUACUGAUGGAAUGUAACCAAAUAAUAUAUGAGUUUUUUGCUUAUGCACGAGUGAAAUUUUUAGAUAAAAGUGCCAGCCCCAAUGGCAAUUUUCUGCAAAACGAAAACUAAUUCUGCGAAGCUUCUUAUUACUGGAAAGACUCAUUUGGCUUGCAUUAGAGACUGACAUAAGUGACUUUAGGAUUUUACUAACAGAUUAGAUGAGAUGUGCCAUAUACAGUAAUAUCAUUAGAGAAUGUAACAGCACUGGAACGCUUUGGGGCACUUAUUAAGGGUACCAGCACAAGUAAAUUGUUUUCCUUUAUAACACAAGCUUUUGAAUUUUUUCUCUGAUUAGAAUGCUUUAUUUUUAUGGAUUUUUUUCCCUGACAUUUAAAACAACUUUUAUUUUACACCCCUCAAAAUUGCACACAAAUUAUGUUUUGCAUGAUUCAGCUCAGUGUUACUAAAUGCAUUAUCUAUGCCUUAUUUCAUGAAUAUCACCUAGGCAGAGGGUAGAUAUGUAUUAAGAAAACAGCUUACCACAAUACUAAAAUCAGAACUCCUCUAACAGAAUAUUAUCCUAACUUACAGCAAAGACUAAUCUUCAUGGCUCUGAGGAAUUUUUGCUAUUAGUACCUUUCACUAACUCCAUGUUUGUGUGGGUUCUACUCUCAACUUCUAACAAGAUCUUAAAAUUGGACCAUUAAAAGUGGUUAUUAUAAUAUGAAUACUCCUAUUGUUCUGUUUACUGCCAUCCUAAAAUUCAUUCAAGUAAAGAAAUAUUAUAGCUUUUUUAUUCUGUUGAAUCUUCCCUUAUCAAAAAUUAUGUAUCAAGCAAAACAUUUCUUGCUAAGGUAGGCAGAAAUAUGGGGUGAAGAUGGAAAUGCUUGUCACUUUAUAAAAGAAGCCAUUGGAAGAGCUAGGAGUAUUGGGGGAAUGAUUUUAUGCUCAAUAAUUUUUCCGUUAUGAAUUAUCUUUUCCUGAUAUAAGUUUUUACCUCUUCCUGGGUAUAGAGAGGAGUUUUCUUCCCCCUUCUUUCUAAAAGUUCUUUCACACUUCAUCGUAAGAGAAGGAAAUUAAUGAGAAAAAUGUACUACGCACCAAGCUACCUAGAGAAUAGCAGCCAUAGUGAUGAGUUUGGGAAUGUGCAUUUGGUGUCCCAGUCUAUGUAGUGAUGGGGUUGAGUUAUGGAAUCACACAGAGGGGAGAUGGAACCCCAUCUUUGCCAUUUUACUACACACCUUACUUUAGGCAAAUUACUUCUUCCCUUCUCUGAGUUUUUAUUUCUUCACCUAUAUGGUGGGAUCAUGACAGCACUAACCCUGAAGUUUUUCUCUGAGGAUCAUAUGCAACUGGAUUACCCUGUUGCUCAUAUUCCACCUCUACAGUGGAAGAGAGGCUCCUGCAAAGAGGGUGGCCCAAUGGAUUGAAAAUUAUGUCAGACCAAUUCUGCUAGAUGUUCCAGAUUUCUACAGGAAGAACUCAAGACUGUAUUAGCUAAAAACAGAAUGUGAAAAUAAUCAUUGAGACAAACCCCCAUGACCAAUCCUGAGCCAAAGACACUUCAAUCUAGGAAUGACUGAAGUCAGUCAUUGCAAUGUUCAAAAGUCACCUCUUCUGAGAAAUGGGUUGAACUGAGUUAGUCACAGCCAUUGGUGUGUUCCUAAUGCUGUUUUUAUUAGCUCACUUAACACACUGCAUGGAUAUUAUUUCCUUAAAUAUCAUCCUCACAUCUUGAACUCUUUGAGGGCAGGACUUCAUCUUUUCAAUUUCUUAACCUCAAGCUGUCAGCACAUUGCCAGAUAUAUAGAAGUUAUCAAAAUAAGUGUCUAUGAGCCUUUUGUGCACUUGUAAAAAUGUCUGAGACCCCCCCAAAAAAAGUACAAAAAAACUUUAAAAUUAAAUCAGUAAGUACUAAAAUUUUGACAAAUGGGAGUUCUCUUGUGGCACAGUGGGUUAAGGAUCCAGCAUUGUCACUGCAGUGGCUUGAGUCACUGCUGUGGUGAGGGUUUAAACCCUGGCCUGGGAAUUUCCAUAUACUGAGAGCAUGG